UUGAAGGCUGGCAACUAUAGCUUAUUUCUGUGUAUUAGCAGGUUUAUUUUCAGAGUUAUAGAAGUCCUCAUGUAAAAGCUCUCAAGUUAUUAUAAUUUCAGGGACAAAUAUUAAGUACAUAAGAAAACCUCUCAGAUAUUAUAGGCUUUGAUUGCAGUGUGAAUGGCUGACUUGAAACUGACAUCAACUACUUCUUGGGGAAGACAGCUCAACACAAAAAGGAUGUUUGUGAUCUGGAACUGAAUCUUCAAUAUCUCCAAGCAGGUAGAGCAUGGUUAAAUAAUGAGCUAUUCCCAGGUGGCACAUCAGCAAGGGUUGCACACUCAAGAUGAGUUUGAUGCUGAUUUCCAUUAUAUUCCACAGACCUCAACACAGGUGGCCGUUCUUCCUCUUCCUAAGUCAGAAAAUUUGUUCCCACCAUACCAACUUCUCUAGGUCCAUUUACCUUUUUUUUUUUUUUUUUUUUUUACUACUCUAGUCUAACAUAAUUUCAAAGAAUGAAAAAAAUACUGGUAAAAUGUAUGUAUUAA
rnacentral:lncRNA from 1 species